GGCCCACAUUUUGAAUUGUAUUGUACGAGAUUACUAUAACUGAAUAUAAUGCCGUAUGAAUGAAUUGUAAUAGAUGAGUUGUAUCAUCAGCUGUGACGGAGAAAGCGCUGGCAAUGGGAGCUUUUGCCAGAGUUGCCGUUUCGUAGUCACUCAAAAGUUAGUUUAAAAUGUUUAUAGGUUUUUUAUGGAGAAGUUUAUAGAUGAUCAAAGUGUAUAGUGUAUUAUAUUUAUAUUGCUUUUUUUACAUUUCGCUAGCAAUACGUGCUCUACUUUGCGAUGAAAUGUUCCAUAAAAUUAAUGAGACCUUAAUGGAUUUUAUUUAAGUGACAAACAUUCGUGAGAACUAAUGUGGGUGAAUUGAAACCGAGUUCUGGAAUGCUGCGCCAAGAGAAGCACUUACAAACUUACACAUAUGCAAGUAUGUGACUACGGGAGGUAUUGGACCGGCUCACUAAAUAUAAAACUGCAUAGAAGCGCAUGAAGGAGAACCGCAAUAAGUUAUACAAGUAGAGAAGAACGUGCAAAAAGUAAUAGCAAAUGCAAAAAUAGUUGUAAGAACAACAAAUGGUGUAAUAGUGGAUAUAAUACCAAUAAAUAAUGCAUAAAAGCAAAGGCAAGGUUGCAAACUGGUAUUGGAGUAAUGUGAAACCGUCGCGCUGUGGGAGGAGCUGGUGUGGUAUAACAGCAACAAGACCAAAUCGCUGUUGUUGUUAUUGUGCUUGUACUUGCACCUAGUUAUUUUUUUGCUGCUUGUAUAUUUGAGAUCAAGAUCAAGGUUUUUUCCCUCAGCCUCAUGCAAUACCUUGCGUCUUAUGUGCUUGGCUUGUACUGUUUGUGUGUGUUUUUUUUGCAGUCGCUUAACGACAACCAGUUGUUCGCGUUAGUACAAAGCAAUGCAAAGCAACAUCGAAAAAAAAACUUCUAAACAGUGCAAGUAGCUGCAGACAACGGCAAAAUUAUAGCUGUUCAGAAAUACUUAUGUACGUCGUUUGGCCCAGCUGGGAUGUGAGAAACAAUUCCGUUCGAAGGCAAGGAUACUCUUACAUACAUACAAACGUGGUGGAUACAUGCAUAAAUUCGAUAAGGGGCCCAAGCGAUCGUUAGCAAAGCAAAUGCUGCAACUUUAGGAGACAAAUAUAAGCAAAGUGCGCAGGGAACAAGACUGCACGAAAGAUGUUUCCUUCCCGACAAGUUUACGAAAAAAUCAAAGCCAAAGUCAGAGUCAAUGGCAGAACGAAAAGUUGAGAGUCGUUUGGCGUCGUGAUCACGCAAUGCUUUGGCGAAGCUAUUUUCGUACAAAACAUACUACCUAUAUACAAACAUACAUACCAAUAUGUAUAUGGGUAUGCGAAGCAUUCGAGCCAGCCUACCAAAGUUUUUGAAAAACCACGUUAAAAUGUGUGUAUGCGCCAAGAAUAAAAAACGAACGCUGUUGGUUGGAAGCGAAAGGGGCAGCAGAUGAAACAUAAAUAAAGUAAUGAAAAGAAUCACGCGAAACAAAGUUUGCAACUAUUACGUCUGCUUGGCUGGGCACGUUUUGCCUGGCCGUUGACUAUGACCACAACGGCGCGGCACAAUAUGUAUGACCAGCCAAAGACAGAUAAUGUAUCUAGAGGAUAAAAGUUAUGUAUGUAUGUGUAUGUUACGUAGCGCAAUUACGUGAGUGUGCGCGCAUGUGCUUAGUAGUUGAAUUUAAAAUAGUUGCCUUAAGAAUUCCAAAGCCCAUGAUUACAUUGGACUAAGUGCCAACAGAAGAGCAACCAGUGGUAUGAGCUUGCUAGCACAAUAUAGCGUACAUAUCGCUGUACUUACAUACAUGUAUAAUAACUAUCGUACGUAAGCGUUAUGUAUGUGCAUAUUUAGGUGCUUCGUGUGCAGUAAAACCAGUUUUUCAUAUAAAUAUGUAUAUUAUUUGUUUGUAAUUGCAGGCGCAUAAGAACCACACCAUUUAAGCCAGCUGAGUUGAGGUGUUGGAACUUGACUGCACUUGAGUUGUUUGAAAAUUAAUUAUAUAGUAAAUGGCACGCAAAGUGUUAUAAUUUGUUAUAAAGGAAGAUGCAUCUACUGCGUUCGAAAUACUGACGAAAUUUUCAAAGAAAUGCGAUUUUUUGUUGAAAAAAAUUUAAAAACUUGUUACCAUAUAAAUUAUGGCAUAUUAAAUAUGGCCAUAAAUAAAAACAUUGUUGGUUGCAGCAUUUUAAUUUGACAUAUCCGCGCUUUGGCAGCAAUCUAACAGGGGCUGUACGUUGACUGGCUGUUUGUUGGGUGCUGUGAUAGGUUAUAUUAAAUUUGGCACGAAGGAAACGUUGGAGACUCAAUAAAAAAUAUAUAUAAUGAUCAGCUUGAGGAGCCGAGUCGAGUUUGCCUUGUACUACUGGCUGUCUGCAUAUACGCCAACUAGUCCCUCAGUUUUUGACUUAUUGAUCUGGAUUUAUGCACAUGCCUUUUUCUCUUCAAGGAAUUACGCAUUUGACAGAAUCGCCAAUAUCGGACCGCUGUAACCUACAGCUGCUAAAUGAACUAACCGAUCAAAAUAAAGUUCUUGUAUGGAAAACUAUUUUAUUUGACAUGUUCAGAUUCAAGAAAUUUUGUAUGGAUUAUCAUCCUAGGUAACGGUAUAAACUUUGAAAAACUAUAGCAUAUACAUAUCUAUCAUAUAAACCAACCAACUAAAAUCGAGUUCUUGUAUGGAAACCUGUCCGAUUUGUGCAGGGUAUUUAGCUUCCUUGCAAAGUUAACGUUUCUUUCCUGUGUUUAGUAUAGAAGCAAAAAUGUGCACGUCAGAGCAUUGCUCUUUUAGCUUCGUGACGUUAAGUAAUUCAAAUUGAAUUGUAAAUGUCAAUAUAUUUACAAACGUAUAUAAAUUAAUAAUAAAAUGUGCUUUCAUACAAUGUAAUGUGUAUGUAUGUAUGCAUAAA